AUUUUAAUAUAUUAGUAAUAUUAAUAGUUGUAGAACCAAAACUAAGGUGUAGAGUUAACAUAUGAGUAUUUUUGAUCAAAGUAUAUACUUCCUUUAGUAGUGGAACCCACGCCCAGUAUAAGAAAACACCAAAAACCCAAUGGUUUGCUGCAUUCCUCUCAUUACCCAAAAUAAGAAACAAACAAACACUCACUCCAAGCUCUCCUCUCUCUCUCGUGUUCAUCAUCAUUAUUCACCCCUUUUAUCACUUCCAAAUAGUGAAACUCACAUGCAAAUGGAGAAUCAAGUUCCUUAGGUUCUCAACUAUUCAAGGGAUUAUGAAUUCAAGUUCUGGAGCAUUCAGAGGCUGAAUUUCGAGAUUAGAGUUGGUAGAGGUUUUUCAAGAAAUCAAGAUAAACAGGUUGCACAUGGUAAGGAAGUUAAAGAGUAAUUGGCUUGAAGACUCUUAUGAUUUUAUAUAAUCACUUACUUGUUAUUAUAAUUAGCUAGUGUCUUUAAAACAUGUCCAUCAUGUACUGUCUCUAGGUUUGUUCUUUUAGGAACUGGAUGUAUUAAUUGUGUAUUAUGUUGAACUUGGAUUUAAACACUUAGUUCUAAUUCGUGCUUGUAGCAAAGAAUUCAGUUGUGAUUUUAUUGUGCCAGAAUAUUAAUUAUGUACGACCCUAUUUUAUUCUAGACAAUUUAAUACGAGUGUUAUAGCA